ensembl:lncRNA
GCCAGGGCUCCCAGAAGAGGGAACACACUUCUCUUUGGCUCCCUUUCUCCCGCCCAGAUGGCGUAGCUCAUGAACCGCAGCCUCCGAUGCCGACUUGUGGAACGCAGGGUGAGGGAGGCUAAAGGAGCCACCUGCUGCCCACUUAUUUCUCGGUAAAGAGCUGACUUCAGUUUGAAACCAACGCCCCACAUGGAUCCUGAGUGCAGAUGAACGUGGCCCCUGGCUCUGGUGCCAUGAGGGACUGGGCAAAUGGACUGAGCAGACGCUUCUCAGAGAAAGUCGUACCAGUGGCUGGUAACCUCUGAAACCGGAAGGAAACAGUGCCAGACCGAAGUGUUUCUUCUCCUGGUUGGUUCAUCCUUAUUCCAACAAAAGAUGAAAGGAAGGGCUUGGGUGAGGAACAGGAGGCAGAGCCUGCAGAUUCCUUCUGCACAAAGCUGAGGAGCAGCUGGCUGUCUCCUGCGUGUCCCCUGCCCGGUCUUCCUUCCUGCUCUCCAUUCAGCACCAGCUGAGCACUCAGGAAGACCUAGCGUUGAGCAGGGACAGCUGCUGUCCUAGCGGGGCCUGGCUCACCAUAUGGGGGUCCUCCAGGCCAGGCUGGGGUGCAGCAGACACGAGGCUCCUGGGGUGGUGGCACUGCACCAGGGGACCUGGUGAGAAGGUGAUGCUGGCUUGGCUGGACACUGUCAGGAGAUCUUCACCACACCACCACACCAUCUGUCUGGUGUCACCCUGAGUUGUCUGAGCCUUGGUCUGUGUCUUCAGGGAUGCUGGUGCUGAAGCUGAAAGGACAGAGUCACAGAGAAGCCCCUUCCUGACUCUCUGUUUCCUGGCGCUGCCAUGAGGUGAGCAGUUUCCUCUGCCGUGGUUCCACCAUGAUGGACUAUACCAUGAUAGACUCUGCCAUGAUGGACCCCGCCAUGAUGGACCCCACCAUGAUGGACCCUGCCAUGAUGGAUUCUGCCAUGAUGGACUCUACACGAUAGACCCUGCCAUGAUGGAUUCUGCCAUGAUGGACUCUACAUGAUAGACCCUGCCUUGAUGGAUUAUGCCAUGAUGGACAGAGCCACCGCAGGCCAGAGCAACAGGGCCCAGUGACCAUACCUCAGAAACUAUGACCAACCAACUGUCCUUCCCAGCUGACUCUCAGGCAUGGUCACAGCUGGAUAGGUGACUGCGAGGUCUUAGGUCCCUCCUAGGGGCUGAGUUUCCCUGCAGGCCCUGCACAGGUGUCCAGCAACUGAAGGAGGAACCCCAGCCAUCAAUCAGUCUGUCACACUUCCUGUUGAUGUCGUAGUUUUAGCUACUGAAAUAUUCAUGUGUUUGGCGAAUGCUUUAGGCUGAGGGUCGGGACAUUAGCUGAGAUGGAUGGUCUUGGGAGUAGGCACUGAGCACCCACAUAAGCGACUUGGCUGCCAGCUGUCGUUAGGUUCCAAGCCCUUGCUGUCCCUCGCCCCGCAGUCCUAGGUACACGGUAUGGAUGGGGGCAGAGCUGGAUGCAAAUCGAUACGAUCAGCUUUCAAGGGAACUGGAAGUGUAGAGGGUACACCUUUAAAACUUCGAUUUUUCUCUUAACGGGAAAUAGCUUUAUUAUCUUAGGCCUAUGUCAGCAGAUAUAAUUUCUAGUUUUUAAAAACACAUUUUAAAAUCCUAUACAAUCAAUUCAUUUUUGUGGAGAAAAAUCUUGGGUGUAGAGACGAGAGAAGGUGAAAAGAACUGCCUGAGGUUGUUCUACUCCAAUGUGUCAUUUGAGAUACUUUGAUUUUUUUUUUCCCUGCAAUAAAUUU